rnacentral:rRNA from 1 species
GGCGAACGGGUGAGUAAUAUAUCGGAACGUGCCCAGUAGUGGGGGAUAACUGCUCGAAAGAGCAGCUAAUACCGCAUACGACCUGAGGGUGAAAGGGGGGGAUCGCAAGACCUCUCGCUAUUGGAGCGGCCGAUAUCAGAUUAGCUAGUUGGUGGGGUAAAGGCCUACCAAGGCAACGAUCUGUAGUUGGUCUGAGAGGACGACCAGCCACACUGGGACUGAGACACGGCCCAGACUCCUACGGGAGGCAGCAGUGGGGAAUUUUGGACAAUGGGCGCAAGCCUGAUCCAGCAAUGCCGCGUGCAGGAAGAAGGCCUUCGGGUUGUAAACUGCUUUUGUCAGGGAAGAAAUCUUCUGGGCUAAUACCCCGGGAGGAUGACGGUACCUGAAGAAUAAGCACCGGCUAACUACGUGCCAGCAGCCGCGGUAAUACGUAGGGUGCGAGCGUUAAUCGGAAUUACUGGGCGUAAAGCGUGCGCAGG